UAAGACAGAGGUGCCGAGCGUUAGGCGGAAUCACUGGGCUUAAAGCGUGUGUAGGCGGGCCGUUAAGUGUCUUGUGAAAUCCCCCGGCUCAACCGGGGAAUUGCUGGGCAUACUGGCGGUCUUGAGCAGUCUAGGGGCAGAUGGAACAAGUGGUGGAGCGGUGAAAUGCGUAGAUAUCACUUGGAACGCCAAUGGUGAAGACAGUCUGCUGGGGACUUGCUGACGCUGAGACACGAAAGCCAGGGGAGCGAACGGGAUUAGAUACCCCGGUAGUCCUGGCCCUAAACGAUGUCGACUAGAUCGCAGGAGCUCUGACGCUUUUGCGGUCGUAGCAAAAGUGCUAAGUCGACCGCCUGGGAAGUACGGUCGCAAGGCUA
rnacentral:rRNA from 1 species